rnacentral:rRNA from 1 species
CGGCACGGGUGAGUAACACGUGAGUGACCUGCCUUUUAGACUGGAACAACUUACCGAAAGGUGAGCUAAUGCCGGAUGAGUUAUAUAAGUGCAUGUUUAUAUAGGAAAAGUUGGGGAGACCUGACGCUGAAAGAUGGACUCGCGUCCCAUUAGCUAGUUGGUAGGGUAAUGGCCUACCAAGGCGACGAUGGGUAGCCGGCCUGAGAGGGUGGCCGGCCACACUGGGACUGAGACACGGCCCAGACUCCUACGGAAGGCAGCAG